AGAUUGAACGCUGGCGGCAUGCCUAACACAUGCAAGUCGAACGGGAGUAGCAAUACUCUAGUGGCGGACGGGUGAGGAAUACGUAGGAAUUUGCCCUUAAGUGGGGGAUAACCCGGGGAAACCCGGAUUAAUACCGCAUGACCUCGAAAGAGCAAAGGUGGGGGAUCGCAAGACCUCACGCUUUUGGAGAAGCCUACGUCGGAUUAGCUAGUUGGUGAGGUAAUGGCUCACCAAGGCGACGAUCCGUAACUGGUCUGAGAGGAUGAUCAGUCACACCGGACUGAGACACCGGUCCGACUCCGUACGGGAGCAGCGAGGUGGGGAAUAGUGGACAAGUGGCGCAAGCCUGAUCCAGCAAGUCGCCGCGUGUGUGAAGGACGGUCCGUUGGUAGUAAGACGUACGUUAAGGUAGGAAA
rnacentral:rRNA from 1 species